rnacentral:rRNA from 1 species
UGCGGAGGAUGCGAGCGUUAUCCGGAUUUACUGGGCGUAAAGGGAGCGUAGGCGGACUUUUAAGUGAGAUGUGAAAUACUCGGGCUCAACUUGAGUGCUGCAUUUCAAACUGGAAGUCUAGAGUGCAGGAGAGGAGAAUGGAAUUCCUAGUGUAGCGGUGAAAUGCGUAGAGAUUAGGAAGAACACCAGUGGCGAAGGCGAUUCUCUGGACUGUAACUGACGCUGAGGCUCGAAAGCGUGGGGAGCAAACAGG